rnacentral:rRNA from 1 species
GACAGAGGGUGCAAACGUUGUUCGGAAUUACUGGGCGUAAAGCGCACGUAGGCGGCUCAGCAAGUCAGGGGUGAAAUCCCGGGGCUCAACCCCGGAACUGCCCUUGAAACUGCUAAGCUAGAAUCUUGGAGAGGCGAGUGGAAUUCCGAGUGUAGAGGUGAAAUUCGUAGAUAUUCGGAAGAACACCAGUGGCGAAGGCGACUCGCUGGACAAGUAUUGACGCUGAGGUGCGAAAGCGUGGGGAGCAAACAGG